GGGAAUGUGGCUUAGUGGUAGGGCGCCUGCCUAGCAUGCAUGAAGCCCUGGGUUCAAUUCCUCAGCACCA
rnacentral:tRNA from 1 species